rnacentral:rRNA from 1 species
GACAGAGGAUGCAAGCGUUAUCCGGAAUGAUUGGGCGUAAAGCGUCUGUAGGUGGCUUUUAAGUCCGCCGUCAAAUCCCAGGCUCAACCCUGGACAGGCGGUGGAAACUACCAAGCUGGAGUACGGUAAGGGCAGAGGGAAUUUCCGGUGGAGCGGUGAAUGCGUAGAGAUCGGAAAGAACACCAACGGCGAAAGCACUCUGCUGGCCGACACUGACACUGAGAGACGAAGCUAGGGGAGCGAAUGGGA